GAUGAACGCUGGCGGCGUGCCUAAUACAUGCAAGUCGAGCGAACGGACGAGAAGCUUGCUUCUCUGAUGUUAGCGGCGGACGGGUGAGUAACACGUGGAAAACCUACCUAUCAGACUGGGAUAACUUCGGGAAACCGGAGCUAAUACCGGAUAAUAUUUUGAACCGCAUGGUUCAAAAGUGAAAGACGGUCUUGCUGUCACUUAUAGAUGGAUACGCGCUGUAUUAGCUGGUUGGUAAGGUAACGGCUUACCAAGGCUACGAUGCAUAGCCGACCUGAGAGGGUGAUCGGCCACACGGGAACUGAGACACGGUCCAGACUCCUACGGGAGGCAGCAGUAUGGAAUCUUCCGCAAUGGGCGAAAGCCUUACGGAGCGACGCCGCGUGAGUUAUGAAGGUCUUCGGAUCGUAAAACUCUGUUAUUAGGGAAGAACAUAUGUGUAAGUAACUGUGCACAUCUUGACGGUACCUAAUCAGAAAGCCACGGCUAACUACGUG
rnacentral:rRNA from 1 species